GAUAAAUCGUUGGAGUGGCAUUUCCGUUUGUACAGUGAAGAAAUGAGUUACAAGUAAUAAAUAAAAGCGACUUUUGUUAGAUUUCUUUUAACCUACAAUCUACUGAAAUUAAACCCGUUGUUAUCCUGCGACGGAGAGCGAAAUGAACACCCGACGGUGCAUCUUGUGAACAACUUUGAAGCGGAUCUCCUUCCAGCCACAACCCAGCACUGGGAAACACCCAUUCACUCUCUCAAACAGCAGUCAGACAGAUACAGCAAUGAAGUGAAUGAAGAAGCUAUUCACUUCAGAGUCAAAAAACCAAGACAGUAGAGAGAAUUGACUGGAAAGCAUAGGGAGCAGAAAGAGGGGAAGGAUUGCCAUAGGACCGCGAGGCGGAAUCGACCCCGGGUCGCUGCGAGCACCGGAGUGCAUGUGUCGAUGCACUUACCACUACACCACUGGCACCGUCGGUUUUAUUUUUAAUGAUGAAAACAUAACUCAUAUAUGGGCAAAACAUAAUGGGCUGAAGAUAGUGGUACGAUCUACAAAGCCAAAGUUAAAUAACAACAAAGGAGUAUUGAUGUGAUUAAUACUCAUGAUUCACAAUUAUUGUAAAUUCUUAAAUACAGUCUUUCAAUAUGUGAUCAAAUGAUUCUUUAGUAUAAAAACUAUUGCUAUGC
rnacentral:lncRNA from 1 species